rfam:Heligmosomoides polygyrus genome assembly, scaffold: HPBE_scaffold0004464
GCGCCGGUGGUGUAAGGCGAACAUCGCUGCCCGGAAAGCAGAAGAUGCAAGUUCGAGUCCCGCGUGGCGCA